GAAAUGCGAUAAGUAAUGUGAAUUGCAGAAUUCAGUGAAUCAUCGAAUCUUUGAACGCACCUUGCGCCCUUUGGCAUUCCAAAGGGCAUGCCUGUUUGAGUAUCAUGAACACCUCAACUCUCAUGGGUUUGCCAUGAUGAGCUUGGACUUCUGGGGGUUUUGCUGGCCUAUCGUCGGCUCCUCUCAAAUGAAUCAGCUUUCCAGUGUUUGGUGGCAUCACAGGUGUGAUAACUAUCUGCGCUUGUGGUGUUCCACCAGGUGACCUUCAGCGAUGGAGGUUUGCUGGAGCUCAUAAACGUCUCUCUUUGGCGAGGGACAUYGUUUUUGAAYGUUUGAUCUCAAAUCAGGUAGGACUACCCGCUGAACUUAA
rnacentral:rRNA from 1 species